GGACCUACGGGACGCAGCAGUGAGGAAUAUUGGUCAAUGGGCGAGAGCCUGAACCAGCCAAGUCGCGUGAAGGAUGACGGCCCUACGGGUUGUAAACUUCUUUUGUCAGGGAGCAAUUGAGUCCACGUGUGGGCUUAGCGAGAGUACCUGAAGAAAAAGCAUCGGCUAACUCCGUGCCAGCAGCCGCGGUAAUACGGAGGAUGCGAGCGUUAUCCGGAUUUAUUGGGCGUAAAGCGAGUGCAGGCGGUUCAAUAAGUCU
rnacentral:rRNA from 1 species